GCCGGGGUGGUGAAAUCGGUAAACACAGGGGACUUAAAAUCCCCCGGGCUUAGGCCCUUGCGGGUUCAAGUCCCGCCCCCGGCA
rnacentral:tRNA from 1 species